GCCUGGGUGGUUUAGGUGGUUAAGCGCCUGACUUCAGCUCAGGUCAUGAUCUCGCGGUUUGUGAGUUCAAACCUUACCUUGGGCU
rnacentral:tRNA from 1 species